UAGUCCACGCCCUAAACGAUGAAUACUCGAUGUUGGCGAUAUACAGUCAGCGUCCAAGCGAAAGCGUUAAGUAUUCCACCUGGGGAGUACGUCCGCAAGGAUGAAACUCAAAGAAAUUGGCGGGGGUCCGCACAAGCGGUGGAUUAUGUGGUUUAAUUCGAUGAUACGCGAGGAACCUUACCAAGGCUCGAAUGCUGGGGGAAUUAUUCAGAAAUGGAUAAGCCUUUAUGGUCGCCAGCAAGGUGCUGCAUGGUUGUCGUCAGCUCGUGCCGUGAGGUGUUGGGUUAAGUCCCGCAACGAGCGCAACCCCUUUCGUUAGUUGCCAGCAUUAAGUUGGGGACUCUAGCGAUACUGCCUCCGUAAGGAGAGAGGAAGGAGGGGAUGACGUCAAAUCAUCAUGGCCUUUAUGCCUUGGGGCUACACACGUAAUACAAUGGUAGGGGACAAAGAGCAGCUACUUGGCGACAAGAUGCGAAUCUCAAAAAA
rnacentral:rRNA from 1 species